rnacentral:rRNA from 1 species
GACGAACGCUGGCGGCGUGCUUAACACAUGCUAGUCGAACGGAAAGGCCCUGCUUUUGUUGGGUUCUCGAUUGGCGAACGGGUGAGUAACACGUGAGUAACCUGCCCUUGACUUUGGGAUAACUUCAGGAAACUGGGGCUAAUACCGGAUAGGAGCUCCUGAUGCAUGGUGGGGGUUGGAAAGUUUCGGCGGUUGGGGAUGGACUCGCGGCUUAUCAGCUUGUUGGUGGGGUAGUGGCUGUCCAAGGCUUUGACGGGUAGCCGGCCUGAGAGGGUGACCGGCCACAUUGGGACUGAGAUACGGCCCAGAAUGCUACGGGAGGCAGCAGUGGGGAAUAUUGCACAAUGGGCGGAAGCCUGAUGCAGCAACGCCGCGUGCGGGAUGACGGCCUUCGGGUUGUAAACCGAUUUCGCCUGUGACGAAGCGUGAGUGACGGUAAUGGGUAAAGAAGCACCGGCUAACUACGUG